rnacentral:rRNA from 1 species
UUAAGCGACUAAGCGUACACGGUGGAUGCCCUGGCAGUCAGAGGCGAUGAAGGACGUGCUAAUCUGCGAUAAGCGUCGGUAAGGUGAUAUGAACCGUUAUAACCGGCGAUUUCCGAAUGGGGAAACCCAGUGUGUUUCGACACACUAUCAUUAACUGAAUCCAUAGGUUAAUGAGGCGAACCGGGGGAACUGAAACAUCUAAGUACCCCGAGGAAAAGAAAUCAACCGAGAUUCCCCCAGUAGCGGCGAGCGAACGGGGAGCAGCCCAGAGCCUGAAUCAGUGUGUGUGUUAGUGGAAGCGUCUGGAAAGGCGUGCGAUACAGGGUGACAGCCCCGUACACAAAAAUGCACAUGCUGUGAGCUCGAUGAGUAGGGCGGGACACGUGGUAUCCUGUCUGAAUAUGGGGGGACCAUCCUCCAAGGCUAAAUACUCCUGACUGACCGAUAGUGAACCAGUACCGUGAGGGAAAGGCGAAAAGAACCCCGGCGAGGGGAGUGAAAAAGAACCUGAAACCGUGUACGUACAAGCAGUGGGAGCACGCUUAGGCGUGUGACUGCGUACCUUUUGUAUAAUGGGUCAGCGACUUAUAUUCUGUAGCAAGGUUAACCGAAUAGGGGAGCCGAAGGGAAACCGAGUCUUAACUGGGCGUUAAGUUGCAGGGUAUAGACCCGAAACCCGGUGAUCUAGCCAUGGGCAGGUUGAAGGUUGGGUAACACUAACUGGAGGACCGAACCGACUAAUGUUGAAAAAUUAGCGGAUGACUUGUGGCUGGGGGUGAAAGGCCAAUCAAACCGGGAGAUAGCUGGUUCUCCCCGAAAGCUAUUUAGGUAGCGCCUCGUGAAUUCAUCUCCGGGGGUAGAGCACUGUUUCGGCAAGGGGGUCAUCCCGACUUACCAACCCGAUGCAAACUGCGAAUACCGGAGAAUGUUAUCACGGGAGACACACGGCGGGUGCUAACGUCCGUCGUGAAGAGGGAAACAACCCAGACCGCCAGCUAAGGUCCCAAAGUCAUGGUUAAGUGGGAAACGAUGUGGGAAGGCCCAGACAGCCAGGAUGUUGGCUUAGAAGCAGCCAUCAUUUAAAGAAAGCGUAAUAGCUCACUGGUCGAGUCGGCCUGCGCGGAAGAUGUAACGGGGCUAAACCAUGCACCGAAGCUGCGGCAGCGACGCUAUGCGUUGUUGGGUAGGGGAGCGUUCUGUAAGCCUGUGAAGGUGUACUGUGAGGUAUGCUGGAGGUAUCAGAAGUGCGAAUGCUGACAUAAGUAACGAUAAAGCGGGUGAAAAGCCCGCUCGCCGGAAGACCAAGGGUUCCUGUCCAACGUUAAUCGGGGCAGGGUGAGUCGACCCCUAAGGCGAGGCCGAAAGGCGUAGUCGAUGGGAAACAGGUUAAUAUUCCUGUACUUGGUGUUACUGCGAAGGGGGGACGGAGAAGGCUAUGUUGGCCGGGCGACGGUUGUCCCGGUUUAAGCGUGUAGGCUGGUUUUCCAGGCAAAUCCGGAAAAUCAAGGCUGAGGCGUGAUGACGAGGCACUACGGUGCUGAAGCAACAAAUGCCCUGCUUCCAGGAAAAGCCUCUAAGCAUCAGGUAACAUCAAAUCGUACCCCAAACCGACACAGGUGGUCAGGUAGAGAAUACCAAGGCGCUUGAGAGAACUCGGGUGAAGGAACUAGGCAAAAUGGUGCCGUAACUUCGGGA